GACGAACGCUGGCGGCGUGCUUAACACAUGCCAGUCGAACGGAAAGGCCCUGCUUUUGUGGGGUGCUCGAGUGGCGAACGGGUGAGUAACACGUGAGUAACCUGCCCUUGACUUUGGGAUAACUUCAGGAAACUGGGGCUAAUACCGGAUAGGAGCUCCUGCUGCAUGGUGGGGGUUGGAAAGUUUCGGCGGUUGGGGAUGGACUCGCGGCUUAUCAGCUUGUUGGUGGGGUAUUGGCUUACCAAGGCUUUGACGGGUAGCCGGCCUGAGAGGGUGACCGGCCACAUUGGGACUGAGAUACGGCCCAGACUCCUACGGGAGGCAGCAGUGGGGAAUAUUGCACAAUGGGCGGAAGCCUGAUGCAGCAACGCCGCGUGCGGGAUGACGGCCUUCGGGUUGUAAACCGCUUUCGCCUGUGACGAAGCGUGAGUGACGGUAAUGGGUAAAGAAGCACCGGCUAACUACGUG
rnacentral:rRNA from 1 species